GGGGCUAUAGCUCAGCUGGGAGAGCGCUUGACUGGCAGUCAAGAGGUCAGCGGUUCGAUCCCGCUUAGCUCCACCA
rnacentral:tRNA from 1 species